CCACAAUCGAGCGCCCUAACUCGCACCUUCCGGCAAGAGACAGCGGGGGCGCGGCCCCGCCCGCAAGGCUUUUCGGGAGUCAGGGUCUGAGGGCGACCCGGGCUCCUGUCCCCGGCUGCCACUGACCGCCCCAGCGCCGCCAGGGACGGCCCGCUAGCUGCCUCCGGAGCCGAGCGGGCCCCGAACCUUCCCAUUCCUAGAUUUCCAGCCGCACAACAGCCGCCGUGCCCCUGGCUCGACGCAGCUGGCCGGAGGCGCGGAGCUGGUCGUUCGUCCCGCCCGCCGUUCCGCGCCCCUCUCCCGGCUCUUGUUUCCUCGCCUCUUAACGAGGUCUUUGUGAGGAAGGUUGCUGGGCCUGGGGAUUCUGACGAUCGGCUGGAAACCAGGCCUGGCCCUGUUUCAGCAUCCCCGCGUGCCAAGCCCUGGGCCGGCGUGCGGGUCCCUGCCCCUGCGAGGAAGCUGGGACUUUUGCAGGCUAAGGUGGAGACGUGUACCUAACAGAGGAAGAGUGUGGAGGAUUGGAGGACCCAGGGCAGCACGGUAGAGUAGAGACGGAGUUCCAUCAUGUUGGCCAGGCUGAUCUCGAGCUCCUGACCUCAGGUGAUCCACCCUCCUUGGCCUCCGAAAGUGCUGGGAUUACUGGUGUGAGCCACCUCGCCCGGCCGCCUUACAGCUGGAACUGCUACCAGACUGGAGACUGAGCUCCUGGAUCGGGCACAUCCUGAAGUCUGCUGCCUUUGGAUUGGCAUUAUGAGAGCUAAUAAAUCCCCCUUUGAAGCCCCCAGAGCUCAGGGGCUCUCUGGGCCAGGCAUCAUCAAUGUUUCCAUCAAUAUCAAAUUAAAUGGGUUUGGAUCACACAA